CAAUAGCGUAUAUUAAAGUUGUUGCAGUUAAAAAGCUCGUAGUUGGAUUUGUGGUUCGUCCCGCCGGCUGGGUCAUUGACCUUUGCUGUGCUGGUCGUCCAUCCUUGGGUGGAAUCUGUGUGGCAUUAGGUUGUCGCGCAGGGGAUGCCCAUCGUUUACUGUGAAAAAAUUAGAGUGUUCAAAGCAGGCUUAUGCCGUUGAAUAUAUUAGCAUGGAAUAAUGAUAUAGGACCUUGGUACUAUUUUGUUGGUUUGCGCACUGAGGUAAUGAUUAAUAGGGACAGUUGGGGGUAUUCGUAUUCCAUUGUAAGAGGUGAAAUUCUUGGAUUUUUGGAAGACGAACUACUGCGAAAGCAUUUACCAAGGAUGUUUUCAUUGA
rnacentral:rRNA from 1 species